CUGCUGCCUUCCGUAGGAGUCUGGGCCGUGUCUCAGUCCCAGUGUGGGGGGCCUUCCUCUCAGAACCCCUACGCAUCGUCGCCACGGUGGGCCGUCACCCCGCCGUCUAGCUAAUGCGCCGCAUGCCCAUCCGCCACCGGAUCGCUCCUUUGGCCACCGGAGGAUGCCCUCCGGUGGCGUCACGGGGUAUUAGGCCGCGUUUCCGCGGGUUAUCCCCCUGUGGCGGCCAGGUUGCAUACGUGUUACUCACCCGUGCGCCGGUCGCCGGCGGG
rnacentral:rRNA from 1 species